rnacentral:rRNA from 1 species
AGUGAACGCUGGCGGUAGGCCUAACACAUGCAAGUCGAACGGCAGCACAGUAAGAGCUUGCUCUUACGGGUGGCGAGUGGCGGACGGGUGAGGAAUACAUCGGAAUCUACUUUUUCGUGGGGGAUAACGUAGGGAAACUUACGCUAAUACCGCAUACGACCUACGGGUGAAAGCAGGGGAUCUUCGGACCUUGCGCGAUUGAAUGAGCCGAUGUCGUAUUAGCUAGUUGGCGGGGUAAAGGCCCACCAAGGCGACGAUCCGUAGCUGGUCUGAGAGGAUGAUCAGCCACACUGGAGCUGAGACACGGUCCAGAGUCCUACGGGAGGCAGCAGUGGGGAAUAUUGGACAAUGGGGGCAAGCCUGAUCCAGCCAUACCGCGUGGGUGAAGAAGGCCUUCGGGUUGUAAAGCCCUUUUGUUGGGAAAGAAAAGCAGCAGGUUAAUACCCCGCUGUUCUGACGGUACCCAAAGAAUAAGCACCGGCUAACUUCGUG